rnacentral:rRNA from 1 species
GAUGAACGCUGGCGGCGUGCCUAAUACAUGCAAGUCGAGCGAACGGACGAGAAGCUUGCUUCUCUGAUGUUAGCGGCGGACGGGUGAGUAACACGUGGAUAACCUACCUAUAAGACUGGGAUAACUUCGGGAAACCGGAGCUAAUACCGGAUGAUAUUUUGAACCGCAUGGUUCAAAAGUGAAAGACGGUCUUGCUGUCACUUAUAGAUGGAUCCGCGCUGCAUUAGCUAGUUGGUAAGGUAACGGCUUACCAAGGCAACGAUGCAUAGCCGACCUGAGAGGGUGAUCGGCCACACUGGAACUGAGACACGGUCCAGACUCCUACGGGAGGCAGAAGUAGGGAAUCUUCCGCAAUGGGCGAAAGCCUGACGGAGCAACGCCGCGUGAGUGAUGAAGGUCUUCGGAUCGUAAAACUCUGUUAUUAGGGAAGAACAUAUGUGUAAGUAACUGUGCACAUCUUGACGGUACCUAAUCAGAAAGCCACGGCUAACUACGUG